GACAAACUAAAUAUUUACGCCAAGGGCUCCUGACCAAGAGUCAAGGAUUGAGAAAGUGUAAAAGACGGUCCCCAAUGAGACUGUGAAUUGUGACGCCUGUUUGGUUGCCUUUACAUUUAUCAAUAUUUCAUAUUCUGUUUAUCUAUGAAACAACAAUGUUGAUAAUAACACUAAAACAGCCAUUCUUGCCAUCAGAAAAAGUUAAACUUAAGUAAAAACAUAAGACAUAGAGUGACUCGUCAGGUCGAGAUGCAAUGCGUAAGAGAAUGGCCAGCAUGCUGAUGACUGGUCAUACAGAAGCUGAUCAUACAGAUGACCGUCCAUACAGACCGCAUCAUACAGACAGUGAUCACAUCCUGAUGUAACCAAUCGCUCUCCAGCUGGAGGAAGUGCUGCUUUAUAAUCACAGAACAUUCACUCACUGUUAAAGUGAUUCUGGCUGCUAGAAGGGAGAACAUAUCCUACAACAUGAAAAAGUCAAGUCAACAGUUCACAUUGUUCACUCUAAACAAGAAUUUCACUUCAUCAGAAAGUUCAGUCCUCAAAAAAAGGUAUGUUGCUACUAUAUAUUUUUAAUAUAAAAUGUUCUGAAUACAAAAAUAUAUACUCCCAAAAAUGGAAUUGCCACAAUCAACAACAAUAAUAGAUGUCAAUCUCAUUUCAAGACAAGUAAACCUCUUAGUGUUAGUGUAUAUUGAUUUGAAUAUCUUUCAAUUUCAGGGACCAGCUUUGACGUUUAAACCUGUGAGUUUUGGCUGUCCAUGUUAAAGACUGGAAAUCUGCAUGCAGAAUCUGGAUUGUUGGGACAGCUACAUUCGACGUGGUGAAAAGCGAGCAAGGGAAACCAUGGGCACCAAUCUCAGUGUGUCCUCCCAGGUCCAGUGUUUGGGGUGACCUCCUUCCUUUCUUCCAACAGUGUCUUAAAGAAAGAACUGAACAAAUGAAGAUUAUGCUUUCUUCAAUCGACCCGAGGCACCACUGGAGGAAAGGUGGACAGAGUCAGGAAGUUUGUGAACAAUGUGAUGGCCAAGUUUGUUCUCUGUUUUAAUGGAGCAUUGUCCAUCAUUCACACAUAGUGUUUGACAAACCUGGGCUAUAUUUAAAUGAGGAGGUUCAUUUAAGCCCUAAGGGAAAUGAUAUAUAUAUUUUAACUGAUAUUAUCCAGUGUUUGAGAGACCACAGACCAUAAGCCUGAUGCUGGACUGGUGCAUGUUAUGGGAAAGAAGGUCUCCUGUAUUUUUAAAAAGUACCCAGCAGUGUGUUCAACAGAUGCCUGACUUAAUAAAAGUAUU